rnacentral:rRNA from 1 species
GCAGUGGGGAAUCUUGCGCAAUGGGCGAAAGCCUGACGCAGCCAUGCCGCGUGAAUGAUGAAGGUCUUAGGAUUGUAAAAUUCUUUCACCGGGGACGAUAAUGACGGUACCCGGAGAAGAAGCCCCGGCUAACUUCGUGCCAGCAGCCGCGGUAAUACGAAGGGGGCUAGCGUUGCUCGGAAUUACUGGGCGUAAAGGGAGCGUAGGCGGACAUUUAAGUCAGGGGUGAAAUCCCAGAGCUCAACUCUGGAACUGCCUUUGAUACUGGGUGUCUUGAGUGUGAUAGAGGUAUGUGGAACUCCGAGUGUAGAGGUGAAAUUCGUAGAUAUUCGGAAGAACACCAGUGGCGAAGGCGACAUACUGGAUCAUUACUGACGCUGAGGCUCGAAAGCGUGGGGAGCAAACAGGAUUAGA